rnacentral:rRNA from 1 species
UACGUAGGGGGCAAGCGUUGUCCGGAAUUAUUGGGCGUAAAGAGCGUGUAGGCGGUCCGGUAAGUCCGCUGUGAAAGUCCAGGGCUCAACCCUGGAAUGCCGGUGGAUACUGCCGGGCUAGAGUCCGGAAGAGGCGAGUGGAAUUCCUGGUGUAGCGGUGAAAUGCGCAGAUAUCAGGAGGAACACCAAUGGCGAAGGCAGCUCGCUGGGACGUUACUGACGCUGAGACGCGAAAGCGUGGGGAGCAAACAGG